rnacentral:rRNA from 1 species
AUUGAACGCUGGCGGCAUGCCUAACACAUGCAAGUCGAGCGGAGCGGCGGACGGGUGAGUAAUGCCUACUAAUCUGCCUGGUAGAGGGGGAUAACGUCCGGAAAAGGGCGCUAAUACCGCAUACUAUCAGAUGAACCUGGGUCGGAUUAGGUAGUUGGUGUGGUAAAGGCCUACCGAGGCGACGAUCCGGCACCGGUCUGGGAGGAUGAUCAGUCACACUGGAACUGAGACACGGUCCAGACUCCUAAGGGAGGCAACAGUGGGGAAUAUUGGACAAUGGGCGAAAGCCUGAUCCAGACACGCCGCGUGUGUGAAGAAGGUCUUCGGAUUGUAAAGCACUUUAAGUUGUGAGGCGUUCCCAACCGAAUAAGCAACGGAUAACUACAUGCCAGCAGCCGCGGUAAUAC